rnacentral:pre_miRNA from 13 species
AGAUCCCCCUUCGCUGACUCCGAGGGGAUGCAGCAGCAAUUCAUGUUUUGAAGUAUUCUAAACUGUUCAAAACGUGAGGCGCUGCUAUACCCCCUCGUGGGAAAUUAGAAAGUGGGGAU